rnacentral:rRNA from 1 species
GUUUCCUCCUCCUCUUUAAAACGUAGGUCCCGAGCGUUGUUCGGAUUCACUGGGUGUAAAGGGCGCGUAGGUGGUUGUCUGUGUCUCAUGUGAAAACUCAGGGCUCAACUCUGAGAGUGCUUGGGAAACUAGGCAGCUAGAGGACGGUAGAGGGGAGUGGAAUUCCCGGUGUAGCGGUAAAAUGCGUAGAUAUCGGGAGGAACACCGGUGGCGAAGGCGGCUCUCUGGGCCGAUCCUGACGCUGAGGCGCGAAAGCUAGGGGAGCGAACCGGAUUAGAUACCCGGGUAGUCCUAGCCGUAAACGAUGGGUGCUAGGUGUUGGGGGGUAAAGACCCUUCAGUGCCGAAGCCAACGCGAUAAGCAUCCCACCUGGGGAGUACGGCCGCAAGGUUGAAACUUAAAGGAAUUGGCGG